AGAGAAAGCUCCAAUGCCACGUUUUUUGCCGAGCAAUAACAACACCACUUCCGUUACCAAAAGGAAAAAAGAAAGAAAGAAAGAAAUGGAAUGUUGUUGACAGAAAAUCGUCUUCCCCAUCGCCGGCACCGCCGAAACGCCCUUCGCUGUCGCCGCCAAGCUCGCCUCGUCCCCUCCUUCCGCCGAACCACGCCUGGAGAUCUCUCUCGUGGGCAUUCUUUCUCGUCCUCUCUAUUGGUAGCGAGUGAAGACCUACCCGGACGCGAUUCUUCUUCUUGCCGGAUCUUUCUCCCUGACCCCAUUCUGUUGACAGGAGAGCACCCUUCGGCGAUUAAGGAAUUUGUUCAGAUAGUGACUUGUUUCUUUUGCCUGCUCCUUCUCUGAAACCUGAAUCCCACGCAUACGUAACUUAGGCUGAAGAAGUAGUGCCAAAUUCUACAUUCGUAUUUGGUACUCCCUCUGUAAACUAAUAUAAGAGCGUUUAGAUCACUAAAAUAGUAAUCUAAACGCUCUUAUAUUAGUUUACAGAGGGAGUAUUAUAUAAGACGUAGUGGAAUGAUCCUUUGGGAGAAUGGAAGGCAAUAACCUGCCACCUGGAAACUUUAUGCAAGGAGCAACUUAUGGCAGUUCAGACUUGCACCGGAAUCCCAUGCAAAUGCACGGUCCAAGCUCCGAUAAUCCGGGCUUCAACCACUCUCAGAUACCUGGCAAAUUCCCCAUGCCUAUGAACCAGGUUACAGCUUCUGACCACUUGUCGGAAUUUCAAUUCAGAGAACAAAGGAAGGCUGAUCACCACCAGGUCCACCACCACCACUAUCCCAAGAAGGACUCCAUGAGCGAUGAUGAGGAGCAUGGUCUGAACGAGGAUACCACUGAUAGCCACAGCGGCAAGGGAAAGAAGGGCUCAGCAUGGCAGCGGAUGAAGUGGACUGAUUCAAUGGUUAAGCUUUUAAUUACUGCAGCGUCCUACACUGGUGAGGAUCCAGGAGCUGAUUUAGGAUGUGGAAGGAGGAACUGUGCAAUGGUGCAUAAGAAAGGCAAGUGGAAGGCAAUAUCAAAGGUGAUGGGCGAGCGAGGUUGCAAUGUGUCACCGCAGCAGUGCGAGGAUAAGUUCAAUGACCUCAAUAAGAGAUACAAAAGGCUUACAGAUAUCCUUGGUCGGGGUACAACUUGCAAGGUUGUGGAGAAUCCAGCACUUCUGGAUCGCAUGGAUAAUCUCUCUGACAAGUUGAAAGAUGACGCAAGGAAGAUACUGAGCUCAAGGCACUUAUUCUAUGAGGAGAUGUGCUCCUACCAUAAUAAUAACCGGAUUAGUUUGCCUGAAGAUCCUGCACUUCAGCGUUCACUGCAGUUUGCUCUUAGGUGCAAAGAGGAAAAUGAUAUGAUGAGAGGAGCAAGUGGAGAUGCCGAUGAAGAUGACCAGAGUUCAGACUCUGAUUAUGAGGAAGAUAAUGAUGAGGACCAUCAGGUGGCGCAUAGCAAUAAAGGGGGCUUACCCAUGCAAAAGAAGAUGUGGUAUACAGCGGAUCACGAGGAUGCUGGUUUUGGGAACUCUUUGAGUGCACACGAAUGUAGCCGGAGGUCUAAUCCCCAUGGCAUCACACUAGAUAUCAACAAAGUUGUUCCAGAUGGAACCAGCUUGGCUUUGACACAGAAGGACUUAGUAUUGCAAUCUGCAGAGCUUGAAAAACAGUGCUUGAAAAUCGAAAAUGAGGCACUGGAGCUUGCAGAACAACGCCUCAAGUGGGAACUAUCCAGUAAAAUUAAGGACAAGGAACUGGAAAGGAUGAGGUCAGAUAACGAACAUAUGAAGAUUGAGAUUAAACGCUUAAAACUGGAGGUAAGGCGCAAAGAGUUAGAGCUUGAACUCAAGCUGAAAGGAAACGGCAGUCAUUCAUGACAUUUAUUUAGGCGAUCAAGAUUAGCCUGUAAGAUGGUAAGCUAAGAAUACUAUUCUUGCUUAAGGAGCCUUCUAGUUCACUGGUGCAACCUUUUCCGUUCAGCAAGUCUGGUAUUUAUAUGCUUCUAGGUGGUGUUUGCUCACGGAUGAUCACUUUGUUUCAUUUGUUUUUGUAUUUUAACCUAUAAUUUUUUGAAAGUUUGGUAACAGCUUGCAAUUUUCGUUCUUGCUUAGGGAGCCUUCUAGUUCUAACUAAUGCGCAUUAGGAAUGUAAAUUGGUUGCAUCAUUAGUUUUUAGCAAGGUUUUUUUAAGCGCUAGGCGCUGAGCGAGCGGUGUGCCUCUGCUUAGUGCAAUGAUAGCUUAAGCGGCGCUUGAGCGUUUUGUACGGACAUCGACAUGAACAGGGGACACCCAGAAAUCAAUUUUUAAAGCAUGUAAGGCCGCCUUGCUCUGUGCUCUCUCUCUCUCUCUCUCUCUCUCUCUCUCUCUCUCUCUCUCCCCCCACUCUCCUCUGUCUAACCCUAGCCGAACAUCCCUUUCCCUCUCUUUUGUCCCCAAAUUGGUGCCGCUCCUACCUGCAUGUCCUUGCCUAGCCGCCGCUUAGUUUCCGCUUAGCUGGCGCCGCACCCCUGAGUGUACGCCAAGCGCUUAGGCGCUAUGCCUAGGCGUCUGGGCGCUUUUUUCAGCGCUAACCCCAAAAGUGAAGCAGUAGGCCUCCGCUCAGCGCUUAAGCGCACCUAGGCGUAGCCGAUGGCUUCUGAUGUUAGCGUAGAAUACUGCCAGCAGGUCGCCCUUGCACUUCGCAAGAUCUCGUUUUGCAAGGAUUGGGUAUUUGAUGAGGCUUAUGAUCACCCCUUCAGUUUUUCUGUUUUUAUUGCAAUACAUUCUUUGCUAUAGUGGGCUUGUAGCAGUGACUCUGAGUUGUAAUUGAGUGGAUGGCUUGUGUUUGCUUACAAUAGAUAUCAAAUGCCAAUCGCUGUCGUAAGUUUUAUCUGGAUUUUGGUAAAACAGGUUCGGAUUGUUCAUCAAGAAUCCAAGUUGUAGUCAAAUUGAUAAUUCGAUUCAAUUUCAGAGAUUGAACUGGAA